rnacentral:piRNA from 1 species
UCUGAAGAAAAUGCCACAGACACGACGC